UGCGUAGGCGGAAUGAUAAGUUAGUGGUGAAAGCCCCCGGCUCAACCGGGGAACUGCCAUUAAUACUGUCAUUCUUGAAUAUAGUUGAAGUGGGCGGAAUGUAUCAUGUAGCGGUGAAAUGCUUAGAUAUGAUACAGAACACCGAUAGCGUAGGCAGCUUGCUAAACUAUAACUGACGCUCAGGCACGAAAGCGUGGGGAGCAAACAGGAUUAGAUACCCUGGUAGUCC
rnacentral:rRNA from 1 species